UACGGAGGGUGCGAGCGUUGUCCGGAAUCACUGGGCGUAAAGCGCACGUAGGCGGCUUCUUAAGUCAGGGGUGAAAUCCUGGAGCUCAACUCCAGAACUGCCUUUGAUACUGAGGAGCUUGAGUCCGGGAGAGGUGAGUGGAACUGCGAGUGUAGAGGUGAAAUUCGUAGAUAUUCGCAAGAACACCAGUGGCGAAGGCGGCUCACUGGCCCGGUACUGACGCUGAGGUGCGAAAGCGUGGGGAGCAAACAGG
rnacentral:rRNA from 1 species